CUUUUCUCAUUAUUUUACAAUGUGUUAUGGCUAAAGGCUCAUUGGACAACCACAACGCUGUGUGACCCAGAGCAGAACCCUGUUUGCUCGACAACUUAUGCAAACAAGGAUUCUCGUUUGGGAGGUCAACGUGACGGACACAAUCUGUAGUGAAAUAUUUCCUUUGCAAAGCUGUUCUUUGUUGCUUAGGUGGAUGUCAACAUUAACUCUCACUUUGCAUAAACCAAAUACGUUGACUGAAGAAUAAUUUGAACUUCCAGUUUGGAAGAAUUACUACAAAGGAAGUUUUGACUGUUUAUUUUUAACUAAUCGGUGGUCUAGUUUCAACACGGCUCAACUCAAACAUGCCAAUCUCUCUCUGUCUAACCACAUCUCUUCUAGUCAGUGACUAGUGCCAUUACUUAUGCACGUGUCUGGUGAUGCAGUGGUUUGGCUCAGUGACUUCAGACUGCAGAGGCUGUGUGCUCUGCGGAGACAACGGGGUACAGAAACCUCAUCGCCGAACACCGGCCACGUGCACAGUGCGCUCAUAGAAAUAAUUCAACUCUUUGUCCGUGUUUAUAAUUCUCCAAGCUUAAGAAAAAGCUCUGGCAGCGCCUCUAAAGCUCACAAGAUGACAGCUGACGCAGGGCUGUGGUCAUUCUGGGAUGAGUCUAGUCAGCAGAAGAGGACAGAGCCUGAUUGGACGUUGGCACAAUAACAUGGGAUAAGGCAAUGAAACCAUUGCUCCAAGUCAUAAACAUCUAUCAUUUCAUUGUAAAUGUAGAAGCUCUGCUUUGUAGUACUCUGUCCAUUUUUGUUUGAUUUCCCUCUAUAAACAUUAGGAAAUUGAAAAAAAAAUCAGUGUUGUGGUUCCUUUGAAUAGAGGCUGCAAAUGAGAAGUAUGUCCGUUUAGAUUCGAUUAGACUGAAAUCCAGCCUCAGCCAUUUAUCGCAGCAUGUCAAGGACCUAAGCAGAGACGUUAUUAUUUACAGAGACCACAAUGUGCACAGUGUUCUGUGGCCGUGGAAAUAGAUCCUGGCAUCCUGAGGCCAUCUAGUGGCUCGUGCUGCGUUACAAGUGUUGGAGUGGCUUUGUAAUUGCUUUAACCAUUUUGUAAUGUGUUGAUUCUCUGCAAAUGUUAGUGAACCA
ensembl:lncRNA